GCCGUUGAGUUAGUUAAUUGUGAAAUCCCAAAGCUUAACUUUGGAACUGCAAUUAAAACUGCUCGACUAGAGUUUGAUAGAGGAAAGCGGAAUACAUAGUGUAGAGGUGAAAUUCGUAGAUAUUAUGUAGAACACCAGUUGCGAAGGCGGCUUUCUGGAUCAACACUGACGCUGAGGCGCGAAAGUAUGGGUAGCAAAGAGGAUUAGAUACCCUCGUAGUCCAUACCAUAAACGAUGAUUGCUAGAUGUUGGAAAUUUAUUUUCAGUAUCGCAGCUAACGCAUUAAGCAAUCCGCCUGGGGAGUACGACCGCAAGGUUAAAACUCAAAUGAAUUGACGGGGACCCGCACAAGCGGUGGAGCAUGUGGUUUAAUUCGAAGAUACGCGCAGAACCUUACCAACCCUUGACAUGUCUGUCGCGAGUUUAGGAAACUAGACUUUUCGGUUCGGCCGGACAGAACACAGGUGCUGCAUGGCUGUCGUCAGCUCGUGUCGUGAGAUGUUGGGUUAAGUCCCGCAACGAGCGCAACCCCUACUUUUAGUUGCCAUCAGGUCAUGCUGGGCACUCUGAAAGAACUGCCAGUGAUAAGCUGGAGGAAGGUGGGGAUGACGUCAAGUCCUCAUGGCCCUUACGGGUUGGGCUACACACGUGCUACAAUGGUAGUGACAAUGAGAUGCAAAGUGGCGACGCUAAGCUAAACUCAAAAAUCUACCUCAGUUCGGAUUGCACUCUGCAACUCGAGUGCAUGAAGCUGGAAUCGCUAGUAAUCGUA
rnacentral:rRNA from 1 species